ACUCGCGUGCCGGAACCAUUCUGGCGUGUGUUGGCAAAAACGUGGUGGAAAAACUUUCACGAGUGUGUUGACAUUAAACGACGAAAUCGAGAAACGCGUGCGGCGUCGGAAGUGCUACGCGACAGUGUGUGAAACAAAACGGGAAACAACUUUGCUAAAAAGGACACAAACUCACUCAGUAUGUCCGAGUCCGUCCCAUAAGUGAAAUUUAUUCAGUCACAGGCCGCCGGUUCAAAGCCGGAACGGAGCGUAAUCACAUGUUAUCUGGCCCAGUCUAUCUAAUAAUGCGAAGGGAUAACAAACACGAGACAGCGUCGUCGACGUCGGGAGUUUGUGGUUGGUGGCCACAAACAGGACGUCGAGGAGGAAGUAAACGGAAUCGCAAACCAAAAUCCGGUUACCGGGAAGUAAAAAGAGAUGUAUGGCUGGAUCCUCUUGGAGAGCACCGGAUAAACAGAAAGGACCAACAGCUUCAGAGAAACAAUUCACCCAGCGCUAUAAUAAUUUCAUUCACCUGAACCUCAUUGGAAUGUUUGGACACGCGUGAUAAAUUCACACUACAGCCAAAGUGCCGCACACUAUUCGGCGGUUGGGCUAUUGAUGAGGUCCCGUGCACUUUCCCGAACCAGUCGAGCCCGAAACGACCGACGAACCGGAAACGGUGGCACUACAACUUCCACCCACACACCUGCUGCUCCUGCAGUGCAUUCAACUGGCGGAUCAUCGCGGUGAAGUUACGAUUUCCGAGGCUGGAACGUGGAGACGGUUAAAUCCAAUAUGAAAAUAAUUCACUAUUUAUGUUUGUUUUAUGCCCUGUUUAUUUAUUAAAAACAGUCUCCGAAAAAAUUGAGUGGUGCCAUACUCGGCAUCGAGCUGGGAUAUUGAUGAUUCAUUUAAAUAGCAACGAUGCAUCCAAAUUGAAUAGGAUUUAAUAAAUAGCUUGAUAUUUUUCAGUAAUACAAUAAAUAUAAUAGAUAUCAAAUAUUAGGCGAGAAAGCAAUUUCAUCAGUGGCCUAAUGUUAUUUCA